rnacentral:tmRNA from 1 species
GGGGAUGUUCUGGCUUCGACGCUGGUAAUGAAACUCAAUGAUGCAUGUCGAGUGAGUAUGUCCACUCGUAAAUAAAAUAUACAUUUUAAACUAGUCGCAAACGACGAAACUUACGCUCUAGCAGCCUAAGGGCUGCUUGGGACGGCACAGAUUGCCAUUGGUCUGGUUGCUCUCCUUGAAGCGAACGCACGAUGGAUAGCUUAAAUUGUUGUCUCGCCAAUUUGAGCAAAACUUAAGAGGCUCGUGGUUGGCAUCCUUAAACACACAUUUUACACACGAUUAAAACGCAUUGAUUAAUUAUUUAUAAUUAUCAAUAUCUUAAAUAUUAAUAUCAGAGUCCGCCAUCUCCACCA